AUUGAACGCUGGCGGCACGCCUAACACAUGCAAGUCGAGCGGGGUGAUGGUGCUUGCACUAUCACUUAGCGGCGGACGGGUGAGUAAUGCUUAGGAAUCUGCCUAUUAGUGGGGGACAACAUCUCGAAAGGGAUGCUAAUACCGCAUACGUCCUACGGGAGAAAGCAGGGGAUCACUUGUGACCUUGCGCUAAUAGAUGAGCCUAAGUCGGAUUAGCUAGUUGGUGGGGGAAAGGCCUACCAAGGCGACGAUCGGUAGCGGGUCUGAGAGGAUGAUCCGCCACACUGGGACUGAGACACGGCCCAGACUCCUACGGGAGGCAGCAGUGGGGAAUAUUGGACAAUGGGGGGAACCCUGAUCCAGCCAUGCCGCGUGUGUGAAGAAGGCCUUAUGGUUGUAAAGCACUUUAAGCGAGGAGGAGGCUACUCUAGUUAAUACCUAGGGAUAGUGGACGUUACUCGCAGAAUAAGCACCGGCUAACUCUGUGCCAGCAGCCGCCGUAA
rnacentral:rRNA from 1 species